rnacentral:rRNA from 1 species
GCCUCAGUAACGGCGAGUGAAGCGGCAAGAGCUCAAAUUUGAAAUCUGGGGUCUUUGACCUCCGAGUUGUAAUUUGAAGAGGAUGCCUCGGUUGCGGCCCCGGCCUAAGUUCCUUGGAACAGGACGUCGCAGAGGGUGAGAAUCCCGUACGCGGCUGUGGGUUUGCUUCCAUGUGUGGCUCCCUCGAAGAGUCGAGUUGUUUGGGAAUGCAGCUCAAAAUGGGUGGUAAGUUUCAUCUAAGGCUAAAUACUGGCGAGAGACCGAUAGCGCACAAGUAGAGUGAUCGAAAGAUGAAAAGCACUUUGAAAAGAGAGUUAAACAGUACGUGAAAUUGUUGAAAGGGAAGCGCUUGCAAUCAGACUUGCGUUCGGUGGAUCAACGUUCCUUCUGGUUCGUGCACUCCGCCGUGCCGCAGGCCAGCAUCGGUUAGAGCGGCGGGACAAAGGCUCCGGGAAUGUGGCUCUCUUCGGGGAGUGUUAUAGCCCGGUGCGUAAUGCCGUCAGCCCUGACCGAGGUCCGCGCUUANGCUAGGAUGCUGGC